UGCCUAAUACAUGCAAGUCGAGCGAACGGACGAGAAGCUUGCUUCUCUGAUGUUAGCGGCGGACGGGUGAGUAACACGUGGAUAACCUACCUAUAAGACUGGGAUAACUUCGGGAAACCGGAGCUAAUACCGGAUAAUAUUUUGAACCGCAUGGUUCAAAAGUGAAAGACGGUCUUGCUGUCACUUAUAGAUGGAUCCGCGCUGCAUUAGCUAGUUGGUAAGGUAACGGCUUACCAAGGCAACGAUGCAUAGCCGACCUGAGAGGGUGAUCGGCCACACUGGAACUGAGACACGGUCCAGACUCCUACGGGAGGCAGCAGUAGGGAAUCUUCCGCAAUGGGCGAAAGCCUGACGGAGCAACGCCGCGUGAGUGAUGAAGGUCUUCGGAUCGUAAAACUCUGUUAUUAGGGAAGAACAUAUGUGUAAGUAACUGUGCACAUCUUGACGGUACCUAAUCAGAAAGCCACGGCUAACUACGUGCCAGCAGCCGCGGUAAUACGUAGGUGGCAAGCGUUAUCCGGAAUUAUUGGGCGUAAAGCGCGCGUAGGCGGUUUUUUAAGUCUGAUGUGAAAGCCCACGGCUCAACCGUGGAGGGUCAUUGGAAACUGGAAAACUUGAGUGCAGAAGAGGAAAGUGGAAUUCCAUGUGUAGCGGUGAAAUGCGCAGAGAUAUGGAGGAACACCAGUGGCGAAGGCGACUUUCUGGUCUGUAACUGACGCUGAUGUGCGAAAGCGUGGGGAUCAAACAGGAUUAGAUACCCUGGUAGUCCACGCCGUAAACGAUGAGUGCUAAGUGUUAGGGGGUUUCCGCCCCUUAGUGCUGCAGCUAACGCAUUAAGCACUCCGCCUGGGGAGUACGACCGCAAGGUUGAAACUCAAAGGAAUUGACGGGGACCCGCACAAGCGGUGGAGCAUGUGGUUUAAUUCGAAGCAACGCGAAGAACCUUACCAAAUCUUGACAUCCUUUGACAACUCUAGAGAUAGAGCCUUCCCCUUCGGGGGACAAAGUGACAGGUGGUGCAUGGUUGUCGUCAGCUCGUGUCGUGAGAUGUUGGGUUAAGUCCCGCAACGAGCGCAACCCUUAAGCUUAGUUGCCAUCAUUAAGUUGGGCACUCUAAGUUGACUGCCGGUGACAAACCGGAGGAAGGUGGGGAUGACGUCAAAUCAUCAUGCCCCUUAUGAUUUGGGCUACACACGUGCUACAAUGGACAAUACAAAGGGCAGCGAAACCGCGAGGUCAAGCAAAUCCCAUAAAGUUGUUCUCAGUUCGGAUUGUAGUCUGCAACUCGACUACAUGAAGCUGGAAUCGCUAGUAAUCGUAGAUCAGCAUGCUACG
rnacentral:rRNA from 1 species